rnacentral:rRNA from 1 species
GGUCAGCGACUUAUAUUCUGUAGCAAGGUUAACCGUAUAGGGGAGCCGGAGGGAAACCGAGUCUUAACCGGGCGUUAAGUUGCAGGGUAUAGACCCGAAACCCGGUGAUCUAGCCAUGGGCAGGUUGAAGGUUGGGUAACACUAACUGGAGGACCGAACCGACUAAUGUUGAAAAAUUAGCGGAUGACCUGUGGCUGGGGGUGAAAGGCCAAUCAAACCGGGAGAUAGCUGGUUCUCCCCGAAAGCUAUUUAGGUAGCGCCUCGUGAAUUCAUCUCCGGGGGUAGAGCACUGUUUCGGCUAGGGGGCCAUCCCGGCUUACCAACCCGAUGCAAACUGCGAAUACCGGAGAAUGUUAUCACGGGAGACACACGGCGGGUGCUAACGUCCGUCGUGAAGAGGGAAACAACCCAGACCGCCAGCUAAGGUCCCAAAGUCAUGGUUAAGUGGGAAACGAUGUGGGAAGGCCCAGACAGCCAGGAUGUUGGCUUAGAAGCAGCCAUCAUUUAAAGAAAGCGUAAUAGCUCACUGGUCGAGUCGGCCUGCGCGGAAGAUGUAACGGGGCUAAACCAUGCACCGAAGCUGCGGCAGCGAACGUAUCACCCAAGACAACUUUACGGAGUUGACGAUUGACGGAGCGAAGCGACGUCAAAGCGUUCAUUAAAGUCGAGUUGGCUUAGGGAUACGUUCGUUGGGUAGGGGAGCGUUCUGUAAGCCUGUGAAGGUGUGUCGUGAGGCAUGCUGGAGGUAUCAGAAGUGCGAAUGCUGACAUAAGUAACGAUAAAGCGGGUGAAAAGCCCGCUCGCCGGAAGACCAAGGGUUCCUGUCCAACGUUAAUCGGGGCAGGGUGAGUCGACCCCUAAGGCGAGGCCGAAAGGCGUAGUCGAUGGGAAACGGGUUAAUAUUCCCGUACUUGGUGUUACUGCGAAGGGGGGACGGAGAAGGCUAUGUUGGCCGGGCGACGGUUGUCCCGGUUUAAGCGUGUAGGUGUGUGUUCCAGGUAAAUCCGGUUCACUUUAACACUGAGGCGUGACGACGAGGCACUACGGUGCUGAAGCAACAAAUGCCCUGCUUCCAGGAAAAGCCUCUAAGCAUCAGGUAACAUCAAAUCGUACCCCAAACCGACACAGGUGGUCAGGUAGAGAAUACCAAGGCGCUUGAGAGAACUCGGGUGAAGGAACUAGGCAAAAUGGUGCCGUAACUUCGGGAGAAGGCACGCUGACACGUAGGUGAAGUGAUUUACUCAUGGAGCUGAAGUCAGUCGAAGAUACCAGCUGGCUGCAACUGUUUAUUAAAAACACAGCACUGUGCAAACACGAAAGUGGACGUAUACGGUGUGACGCCUGCCCGGUGCCGGAAGGUUAAUUGAUGGGGUCAGCGCAAGCGAAGCUCCUGAUCGAAGCCCCGGUAAACGGCGGCCGUAACUAUAACGGUCCUAAGGUAGCGAAAUUCCUUGUCGGGUAAGUUCCGACCUGCACGAAUGGCGUAAUGAUGGCCAGGCUGUCUCCACCCGAGACUCAGUGAAAUUGAACUCGCUGUGAAGAUGCAGUGUACCCGCGGCAAGACGGAAAGACCCCGUGAACCUUUACUAUAGCUUGACACUGAACAUUGAGCCUUGAUGUGUAGGAUAGGUGGGAGGCUUUGAAGUGUGGACGCCAGUCUGCAUGGAGCCGACCUUGAAAUACCACCCUUUAAUGUUUGAUGUUCUAACGUGGACCCGUAAUCCGGGUUGCGGACAGUGUCUGGUGGGUAGUUUGACUGGGGCGGUCUCCUCCUAAAGAGUAACGGAGGAGCACGAAGGUUGGCUAAUCCUGGUCGGACAUCAGGAGGUUAGUGCAAUGGCAUAAGCCAGCUUGACUGCGAGCGUGACGGCGCGAGCAGGUGCGAAAG